CGGAGGGAUCAUUAAAGAGUUCUAUAACUCCCAAACCCAUGUGAACAUACCUAACGUUGCCUCGGCAGGUCGCACCUACCUUGUAGCACCCUACCCUGUAGGGCCUACCCGGGAGGUGCGGGUAAGCCUGCCGGCGGCCCACCAAACUCUGUUUGAUAUUGAAUUCUGAACCUAUAACUAAAUAAGUUAAAACUUUCAACAACGGAUCUCUUGGUUCUGGCAUCGAUGAAGAACGCAGCGAAAUGCGAUAAGUAAUGUGAAUUGCAGAAUUCAGUGAAUCAUCGAAUCUUUGAACGCAUAUUGCGCCCAUUAGUAUUCUAGUGGGCAGGACCGUUCGAGCGUCAUUUCAACCCUUAAGCCUUCGUUGCUUAGUGUUGGGAGCCUACGGCAACGUAGCUCCUCAAAGUUAGUGGCGGAGUUGGUUCACACUCUAGACGUAGUAAUUUUUUAUCUCGCCUAUUAGUUGGACUAAUCCCCUGCCGUAAAACCCCCAAUUUAUCAAGGUUGACCUCGAAUCGGUUCAGACAAACUCGCUAAAUUGA
rnacentral:rRNA from 1 species